rnacentral:rRNA from 1 species
CGCGGUAAUUCCAGCUCCAAUAGCGUAUAUUAAAGUUGUUGUGGUUAAAAAGCUCGUAGUUGAACCUUGGGCCUGGCUGGCCGGUCCGCCUCACCGCGUGUACUGGUCCGGCCGGGCCUUUCCUUCUGGGGAGCCGCAUGCCCUUCACUGGGCGUGUCGGGGAACCAGGACUUUUACUUUGAAAAAAUUAGAGUGUUCAAAGCAGGCAUAUGCCCGAAUACAUUAGCAUGGAAUAAU